GAUGAACGCUAGCUACAGGCUGAACACAUGCAAGUCGAGGGACCGGCGCACGGGUGAGUAACGCGUAUCCAAUCUGCCCUUUACUCGGGGAUAUCCUUUCGAAAGAAAGCUUAAUACCCGAUAUAAAGGAUGGGGAUGCGUUCCAUUAGGUUGUUGGUGAGGUAACGGCUCACCAAGCCUUCGAUGGGUAGGUGUUCUGAGAGGAAGGGGCACCACAUUGGAACUGAGACACGGUCCAAACUCCUACGGGCGGAAGCAGUGAGGAAUAUUGGCCACGGGGGGCUAGUCUGAAUAUGACAAGUAGAGUGAAGGAUGAAGGCUUAUGGGUGCUAUACUCAUAUUCUAUAAGAAUAUGUAAUAAAUGAAUAAGGAUCGGCUAACUCCGCGCCAGCCGCCGCGGUAAUAC
rnacentral:rRNA from 1 species